rnacentral:rRNA from 1 species
UAAGCGGAGGAAAAGAAACUAACUAGGAUUCCCUCAGUAGCUGCGAGCGAACAGGGAUAAGCCCAGCACCGAAUCCCGCGGCCGACACGGACGCCGGGAAAUGUGGUGUUUGGGAGGAUUCAUAAUCACGAGGUUUGGUGUUGCGUCCAAGUCCUUCUUGAACGGGGCCACAGCCCAUAGAGGGUGCCAGGCCCGUAGUGACCAAUACCUGUCGCGUGAGAAUCUCUCCUUAGAGUCGGGUUGCUUGAGAGUGCAGCCCUAAGUGGGUGGUAAACUCCAUCUAAGGCUAAAUAUAACCACGAGACCGAUAGCGAACAAGUACCGUGAGGGAAAGUUGAAAAGCACUUUGAAGAGAGAGUUCAAGAGUACGUGAAACCGUUCAGGGGUAAACCUGAGAAACCCGAAAGGUCGAAAGGGGAAAUUCAUUCGUAUCUCGAUGUUGGCAUUAGGCGAUUGUAUGACAAUUGUUAUCUUGUAUAGCGGUUGCAUCUUUAGUUUAAUGAACUGAUGUCGAAUGCGUGCACUUUUCCCCAAGUAGGACGCCGCGAUCCGUUGUGUGUCGGUCUAAGGCCCAUGGUGGAGCCCAUUUGGAUGGCAUUUACGUGUCAUUGUCCGAAUGGACCCGUGGUGUUCCCGGCCGACGUGCACGACGGUAUACAGAUGGCGCAGAGCCGCGACUUUAGUUCGCGUUCGGCCCAUGGCAAGCACGCCACGGUGUGUUGGCGAUCGGACCUAGUGCCGUUCCCGGCCCCUGGCGACUGUUGGCUGUGGUGUUCUCGAACAGACUCUGUAAUAUGAAACGCCGAUCUGCGGCGCUAUAGCUUUGGGUACUUUCAGGACCCGUCUUGAAACACGGACCAAGGAGUCUAGCAUGUGCGCGAGUCAUUGGGAAAUAACUAAACCUAAAGGCGUAAUGAAAGUGAAAGUUUGUCUUGCACAAACUCAGGGAGGAUGAGUGGUUUGCCCAUAAAGUGGCCACUCCGCACUCCCGGGGCGUCUCAUUCUUAUUGCAAGAAGAGGCGCACCAAGAGCGUACACGCUGGGACCCGAAAGAUGGUGAACUAUGCCUGGUCAGGACGAAGUCAGGGGAAACCCUGAUGGAGGUCCGUAGCGAUUCUGACGUGCAAAUCGAUCGUCGGAACUGGGUAUAGGGGCGAAAGACUAAUCGAACCAUCUAGUAGCUGGUUCCCUCCGAAGUUUCCCUCAGGAUAGCUGGCGCUCAUUGCGCACGAGUCUCAUCCGGUAAAGCGAAUGAUUAGAGGCAUUGGGGUCGAAACGACCUCAACCUAUUCUCAAACUUUAAAUGGGUGAGAUCUCCGGCUUGCUUAACACAAUUUUGUGAAGCCGUGAGAUUUCGGAUCAGAGUGCCAAGUGGGCCAUUUUUGGUAAGCAGAACUGGCGCUGUGGGAUGAACCAAACGCUGAGUUAAAGCGCCUAAAUCGACGCUUAUGGGAUACCAUGAAAGGCGUUGGUAACUUAAGACAGCAGGACGGUGGCCAUGGAAGUCGGAAUCCGCCAAGGAGUGUGUAACAACUCACCUGCCGAAGUUACUAGCCCUGAAAAUGGAUGGCGCUGAAGCGUCGUGCUUAUACUCAGCCGUCAGUGGCAUGUGCGGUCCCAUUUUUGGGGCCAUGAAGCUCUGACGAGUAGGAGGGUCGCGGCGGUGAGCGCUGAAGGGCUGGCCGUGAGGCCGUCUGGAGCCGCCGUCGGUGCAGAUCUUGGUGGUAGUAGCAAAUACUCCAGCGAGGYCCUGGAGGACUGACGUGGAGAAGGGUUUCGUGUGAACAGCCGUUGCACACGAGUCAGUCGAUCCUAAGCCCUA